rnacentral:rRNA from 1 species
UACGAAGGGGGGCUAGCGUUGUUCGGAUUUACUGGGCGUAAAGCGCACGUAGGCGGUUUGUUAAGUGAGAGGUGAAAUCCCAGAGCUCAACUCUGGAACUGCCUUUCAUACUGGCAAGCUAGAGUCCGGAAGAGGUAAGUGGAACUCCUAGUGUAGAGGUGGAAUUCGUAGAUAUUAGGAAGAACACCAGUGGCGAAGGCGGCUUACUGGUCCGGAACUGACGCUGAGGUGCGAAAGCGUGGGGAGCAAACAGG